AAUGAGGACGAGGAGCCAUUUCUGGUGCAUGUUUCCAUUUUCAUACUAGGGGAUAGUUGUUCCUCAAAUAUGCUCUCCUUUGAAAUUGACUCUUUCCUUCAAAAGGAAGUUUCCCAUAGUAAAAAUAUUUCAGAAUACUUCUGAAUGCUUUGGGGGAAAGCAUGAGGGUGGAACUGGUGGAAUGAAGUUUACAAUUGGGUAUGAAAGAGAUACAUGGAACAGAAGUCUUUUCCACCCACUUCCAGGUUCUCCUCACUUCCAUGGUCCCAACAGACACCAACAUCUUUUGGAAGCAUCCAGUGCUUGAGCUCUGCUGGUACAUCCCUAUGUCACAAUCCUUCAAGGACCAUGAUGACAGAAAGGCAACAAGUAACUGAGUUCCUCCUUCAAGUCUCAACAAUGUAGAGAUCGUCGUUUGCUUUGUGGGGUGGCCUCACCAUGGUGCCUGGUACCCGCAGUCUCCAGUGUCACGUCUUGAUCCAGGAUCCUAUGAGCAGGGCCCAGUAGUUCCCACUCCUGGCUCACUAAGCUCUUGUUGUUACACAUUAACAAGCUUAAUAUUUAUUUACUUAUAUUGUAAAUAUUUAUUGUACUUUAUUGAAAGCGUACUUUCAAUAAAGAUACGCUUAUUGAA